UACGUAGGUGGCGAGCGUUGUCCGGAAUUAUUGGGCGUAAAGAGCUCGUAGGCGGUCUGUCGCGUCGGUCGUGAAAACUUGGGGCUUAACCCUGAGCUUGCGGUCGAUACGGGCAUGACUGGAGUUCGGCAGGGGAGACUGGAAUUCCUGGUGUAGCGGUGAAAUGCGCAGAUAUCAGGAGGAACACCCGUGGCGAAGGCGGCCAGCUGGGCCGUCCCUGACGCUGAGGCGCGAAGGCGUGGGGAGCGAACGGG
rnacentral:rRNA from 1 species